rnacentral:rRNA from 1 species
GAUGAACGCUGGCCGCGUGCCUAAUACAUGCAAGUCGAGCGAACGGACGAGAAGCUUGCUUCUCUGAUGUUAGCGGCGGACGGGUGAGUAACACGUGGAUAACCUACCUAUAAGACUGGGAUAACUUCGGGAAACCGGAGCUAAUACCGGAUAAUAUUUUGAACCGCAUGAUUCAAAAGUGAAAGACGGUCUUGCUGUCACUUAUAGAUGGAUCCGCGCUGCAUUAGCUAGUUGGUAAGGUAACGGCUUACCAAGGCAACGAUGCAUAGCCGACCUGAGAGGGUGAUCGGCCACACUGGAACUGAGACACGGUCCAGACUCCUACGGGAGGCAGCAGUAGGGAAUCUUCCGCAAUGGGCGAAAGCCUGACGGAGCAACGCCGCGUGAGUGAUGAAGGUCUUCGGAUCGUAAAACUCUGUUAUUAGGGAAGAACAUAUGUGUAAGUAACUGUGCACAUCUUGACGGUACCUAAUCAGAAAGCCACGGCUAACUACGUG